rnacentral:rRNA from 1 species
CGAAAGCCUGACGGAGCAACGCCGCGUGAGGGAUGAAGGCCUCUGGGCUGUAAACCUCCUUUCUCAAGGAAGAAGAUCUGACGGUACUUGAGGAAUAAGCCACGGCUAAUUCCGUGCCAGCAGCCGCGGUAAUACGGGAGUGGCAAGCGUUAUCCGGAAUUAUUGGGCGUAAAGCGUCCGCAGGCGGCCUUGUAAGUCUGUCGUCAAAGCGUGGAGCUUAACUCCAUUUAAGCGAUGGAAACUGCAAGGCUAGAGUGUGGUAGGGGCAGAGGGAAUUCCCGGUGUAGCGGUGAAAUGCGUAGAUAUCGGGAAGAACACCAGUGGCGAAGGCGCUCUGCUGGGCCAUAACUGACGCUCAUGGACGAAAGCCAGGGGAGCA